UUGCAAACUAUUCAGUCUCUGGCAAAGCACCACUCGGACAUCCUGAAGACUAAACUACAUGAAGUGUGUCUGGUCCUCAUUGAGGAGGUGAAAAACCAACGCUCAGCAAUAGCCUUUGAGGCCAUACAUGCCAUCAAUGAGCUCUACAUUCAGCUCCAGAGAACAAUGGACCCAGAAGUUGAAACAACAGGCCGAGCUCUAUUGCUGAAGCUUGCAAUGACCAACAACAACUUUCUACAUCAGGAGGUCAAUCUGGCGCUUGAUGCCAUGGUGGAAAAUUGCAGCCAUGGACGGAUUCUGAGCGCUCUGUUUAACACAGGACUGACCCAUCGCUGUGUUGCAGUGAGGAAUAGCA